rnacentral:rRNA from 1 species
CCUACGGGAGGCAGCAGUAGGGAAUCUUCCACAAUGGGCGAAAGCCUGAUGGAGCAACGCCGCGUGGGUGAAGAAGGUCUUCGGAUCGUAAAACCCUGUUGUUAGAGAAGAAAGUGCGUGAGAGUAACUGUUCACGUUUCGACGGUAUCUAACCAGAAAGCCACGGCUAACUACGUGCCAACAGCCGCGGUAAUACGUAGGUGGCAAGCGUUAUCCGGAUUUAUUGGGCGUAAAGGGAACGCAGGCGGUCUUUUAAGUCUGAUGUGAAAGCCUUCGGUUUAACCGGAGUAGUGCAUUGGAAACUGGGAGACGUGAGUGCAGAAGAGGAGAGUGGAACUCCAUGUGUAGCGGUGAAAUGCGUAGAUAUAUGGAAGAAAACCAGUGGCGAAAGCGGCUCUCUGGUCUGUAACUGACGCUGAGGUUCGAAAGCGUGGGUAGCAAACAGGAUUAGAUACCCGGGUAGUC